GAACGUACCCUUUACUACGGAAUAACGCAGGGAAACUUGUGCUAAUACCGUAUGUGCCCUUCGGGGGAAAGAUUUAUCGGUAAAGGAUCGGCCCGCGUUGGAUUAGCUAGUUGGUGGGGUAAAGGCCUACCAAGGCGACGAUCCAUAGCUGGUCUGAGAGGAUGAUCAGCCACAUUGGGACUGAGACACGGCCCAAACUCCUACGGGAGGCAGCAGUGGGGAAUAUUGGACAAUGGGCGCAAGCCUGAUCCAGCCAUGCCGCGUGAGUGAUGAAGGCCUUAGGGUUGUAAAGCUCUUUCACCGGAGAAGAUAAUGACGGUAUCCGGAGAAGAAGCCCCGGCUAACUUCGUGCCAGCAGCCGCGGUAAUACGAAGGGGGCUAGCGUUGUUCGGAAUUACUGGGCGUAAAGCGCACGUAGGCGGACUUUUAAGUCAGGGGUGAAAUCCCGGGGCUCAACCUCGGAACUGCCUUUGAUACUGGAAGUCUUGAGUAUGGAAGAGGUUAGUGGAAUUGCGAGUGUAGAGGUGAAAUUCGUAGAUAUUCGCAGGAACACCAGUGGCGAAGGCGGCUAACUGGUCCAUAACUGACGCUGAGGUGCG
rnacentral:rRNA from 1 species